rnacentral:rRNA from 1 species
AACGAACGCUGGCGGCAUGCCUAACACAUGCAAGUCGAACGAGACCUUCGGGUCUAGUGGCGCACGGGUGCGUAACGCGUGGGAACCUGCCCUUAGGUUCGGAAUAACUCCCCGAAAGGGGUGCUAAUACCGGAUAAUGUCUUCGGACCAAAGAUUUAUCGCCUUUGGGUGGGCCCGCGUUGGAUUAGCUAGUUGGUAGGGUAAAAGCCUACCAAGGCGACGAUCCAUAGCUGGUCUGAGAGGAUGAUCAGCCACACUGGGACUGGGACACGGCCCAGACUCCUACGGGAGGCAGCAGUGGGGAAUAUUGGACAAUGGGCGAAAGGCUGAUCCAGCAAUGCCGCGUGAGUGAUGAAGGCCUUAGGGUUGUAAAGCUCCUUUACCCGGGAUGAUAAUGACAGUACCGGGAGAAUAAGCUCCGGCUAACUCCGUG